CACGGAGUUAGCCGAUCCUUAUUCUUCCAGUACAUUCAGCUUCCUACACGUAGAAAGGUUUAUUCCUGGACAAAAAGCAGUUUACAACCCAUAGGGCAGUCAUCCUGCACGCGGCAUGGCUGGUUCAGGCUUCCGCCCAUUGACCAAUAUUCCUUACUGCUGCCUCCCGUAGGAGUCUGGUCCGUGUCUCAGUACCAGUGUGGGGGAUUCUCCUCUCAGAGCCCCUAGACAUCGUCGCCUUGGUAAGCCGUUACCCCACCAACUAGCUAAUGUCACGCGAGCCCAUCUCUAUCCUAUAAAUAUUUAAUAGCUAACCGAUGACCGGUCAGAUAUAUUAUGCGGUUGUUAAUCUCUCUUUCGAGAGGCUAUCCCCCUGAUAGUAGGUAGGUUGCUCACGCGUACGCACCGUGCGCCACUCUCACCAUCUUCGACGCAGCUCUCCGAUCGGACUCCCGUCCGACUUGCAUGUAA
rnacentral:rRNA from 1 species